rnacentral:rRNA from 2 species
CGNAUGCGGGCUAUACAUGCAAGUCGAACGAGCUCUCCCAAAUUGAUUUUAUGCUUGCAUAAAUGAUUUUUGGAUUCGGAGCGAGCGGCCAACUGGGGAGUAACACGUGGGUAACCUGCCCCAAAGCGGGGGAUAACAUUUGGAAACAAGUGCUAAUACCGCAUAAUUAGUUGGAACCGCAUGGUUCCAACUUGAAAGAUGGCUCUGCUAUCACUUUGGGAUGGACCCGCGCCGUAUUAGUUAGUUGGUGAGAUAAAAGCCCACCAAGACGAUGAUACGUAGCCGACCUGAGAGGGUAAUCGGCCACAUUGGGACUGAGACACGGCCCAGACUCCUACGGGAGGCAGCAGUAGGGAAUCUUCCACAAUGGACGAAAGUCUGAUGGAGCAACGCCGCGUGAGUGAUGAAGGUUUUCGGAUCGUAAAACUCUGUUGUUAAAGAAGAACAAGUGUUAGAGUAACUGUUAACACUUUGACGGUAUUUAACCAGAAAGCCACGGCUAACUACGUGCCAGCAGCCGCGGUAAUACGUAGGUGGCAAGCGUUGUCCGGAUUUAUUGGGCGUAAAGCGAGCGCAGGCGGUUUUGUAAGUCUGCUGUGAAAGCCCUCAGCUUAACUGAGGAAGUGCAGUGGAAACUACAAAACUUGAGUACAGAAGAGGAAAGUGGAACUCCAUGUGUAGCGGUGAAAUGCGUAGAUAUAUGGAAGAACACCAGUGGCGAAGGCGGCUUUCUGGUCUGUUACUGACGCUGAGGCUCGAAAGCAUGGGUAGCGAACAGGAUUAGAUACCCUGGUAGUCCAUGCCGUAAACGAUGAAUACUAGGUGUUGGAGGGUUUCCGCCCUUCAGUGCCGCAGCUAACGCAUUAAGUAUUCCGCCUGGGGAGUACGACCGCAAGGUUGAAACUCAAAGGAAUUGACGGGGGCCCGCACAAGUGGUGGAGCAUGUGGUUUUAAUUCGAUGCUUCGCGAAGAACCUUACCAGCUCUUGGACAUCUUCUGCCAACCCAAGAGAUUGGGCGUUCCCUUCGGGGACCAGAAUGACAGGUGGUGCAUGGGUUGUCGUCAGCUCGUUGUUCGUGAGAUUGUUGGGGGUUAAGGUCCCGCAACCGAGGCGCCCANCCCNNNAUAUUANUAAG